rnacentral:rRNA from 1 species
AUUGAACGCUGGCGGCAGGCUUAACACAUGCAAGUCGAGCGAGCGGCGGACGGGUGAGUAAUGUCUGGGAAACUGCCUGAUGGAGGGGGAUAACUACUGGAAACGGUAGCUAAUACCGCAUACCAUCAGAUGAGCCCAGGUGGGAUUAGCUAGUAGGUGGGGUAAUGGCUCACCUAGGCGACGAUCCCUAGCUGGUCUGAGAGGAUGACCAGCCACACUGGGACUGAGACACGGCCCAGACUCCUACGGGAGGCAGCAGUGGGGAAUAUUGCACAAUGGGCGAAAGCCUGAUGCAGCCAUGCCGCGUGUAUGAAGAAGGCCUUAGGGUUGUAAAGUACUUUCAGCGGGGAGGCGUUACCCGCAGAAGAAGCACCGGCUAACUCCGUGCCAGCAGCCGCGGUAAUAC